UACGUAGGGGGCAAACGUUGUCCGGAUUUACUGGGUGUAAAGGGUGCUCAGGCGGUCUUGUAAGUUAGAAGUGAAAUCCUAGGGCUCAACUCUGGAACUGCUUUUAAUACUGCAAGGCUUGAAUAUGGAAGAGGAGGGUGGAGUUUCUGGUGUAGCAGUGAAAUGCGUAGAUAUCAGAAAGAACACCAGUGGCGAAGGCGGCCCUCUGGUCCAUUAUUGACGCUAAAGCACGAAAGCGUGGGGAGCAAACAGG
rnacentral:rRNA from 1 species